rnacentral:rRNA from 1 species
UACGUAGGUGGCAAGCGUUAUCCGGAAUUACUGGGCGUAAAGCGCACGCAGGCGGUCUUUUAAGUUUGACGUGAAAACUCCUGGCUUAACUGGGAGAGGUCGUUGAAGACUGGGGAACUUGAGGCAAUGAGAGGGAUGUAGAAUUCACGGUGUAGUGGUGGAAUGCGUAGAUAUCGUGAGGAAUACCAGUGGCGAAAGCGACAUCCUGGCAUUAGCCUGACGCUCAUGUGCGAAAGCGUGGGGAGCGAACGGG